AUUAACGUUCUAAAUGUAGAAAUUCAUGUGACUGCAGCUAAUUAAAGCUUAUUUUAGGCAAAAUUUAGGUGACUCAUUAUUGUGCCAAGAAACACCGAAAAUCACACAAUUAUGGGUCACUUUUUGUGCAGCAUAAUAUUGAUAGUUCUGCGAACAUGUGAAACGAACACACGAGUGUUAUUUCAUAGACAUCCCUAUAAUGUAAAUAAUGUUGUGCCUUUAAAUAGGCAAUCGGUAUAAUGAGUGCUCGAAUCAGGGUUUCAAUAGAAUAUCGCCUAAGAGAAGAAAUUGUUAAGAGUAAUUAAGUCUAUCAAUUGCAAGAAAAUUUAUGCUGUUGGAAUGAUUUCAAGAAAAUUAAGAAAACGGAAAUAAAAGAAAACCUAGAAAAUUGGAGGUCUGGAGCCUUGGAUAAGAACGAUAUCAGUUCUUUCCUAAUCAGACCGCCGAAGAAGAAAAUUAGAAAAUUGUGUAUUAUAAGUAAAGUGAUUGAAGCCUAUUUGAAGUGAGCAAGUAAAGUUAAAUUACAAGAAAAAAAUCAUUACAACAAUUGAUCAAUUUAAUUAAAGCUAUUUUCAGAAAUAAGUUGAGUUUUAAUCGAGUUUCGCAUUAAAAAAAUCGUGAGUGGAGUGUUAUCAAAGAUUUGAUCCUAAAAAAAGCGUGAGUGGAGAUUAAUCAAGCUAAUUUUGAGGAAGAAAAAGCCGAAAGUUGAGAAGCAACAACGUGAGUCACCACAGUGACCUCGUGGAGCAUUGGGGUUGAGGAGUGACUUCGUUCGGUGGAACACCGAGCCACAGAGCGUAAUUGGCACAACAAGCUGCUCGCCAAAAUCAUCGGCAUCGUGCGAUCGGACUAGGGCGAUCCCCUGGAGGUUCUCCUCGUCUCGUGGCUGCGUGCCGCUAGGAGUGCCCCCAGAGUGCGUGGUCAACGGUUUUAAGGAUUCGGCCUCGCGAAACCACACCGCUACCCGUGGUUGCCUGCGAACGCGAGUAGUCUGACUAGGGAAAGAAACCCACAGCCAGCGAGAUCCGCCCCCCCCCCACUCACGUCCCGGGUAUAGAAGAUCCAUGGAAUUUAGUCCGAUCGCCUCCAACUCCCACCCCACGUUCGUGUAAGUACCACGCCACGGUUGAUGGUAUUAGUGCUCUCCAGACUGGGCCGUCUGAGCUAUUAGCGUCGUGUUUUGCAUCGAACAUCGAGGCGACGCCUGGUACCGAGCCCUCGGUGCACUCGGUCGGCGACCAUCCGACUCCAUCACCAAUAACUGAGAACGCCUGGCUUAGCUCGACUAACAGCCGGCCGUCGGUCACCGCACGAAGAUCGGCGUCGCUGCCGGCCGCUACACCCGGCAGAGAAUGUAAGUACCUGACAUUUUUAUCGGAGCAUGAGCACCCAAACACCAAUACCUAGAGCGAGAAUGAGUGAUCAGUAGGGAAACAAAAUGUAUUGCUAGAGAAUAAGCUUGAACUCACACACAAACUAUUUGAAGAGCCACUCCAACAAGUGACGUCACUAUUUAGGAUUUUAUAAUUUGAACUUGAAAACUAAAACGGAUCCGUUCAGAAUCUAAUAGGAACUUUUGUUUUAAUCAAUAAAACCACAACUUAGGAAUGUAAAUAGCUUUGAAUAUAAAUAGUUUUUUUUAAUAAAUUGCCACAAAGGCAAUCAAAAUUGUUCUUUAAAUCGGAUUCAAUAAACUUUGGCUAAGAAUGUUCAACAAUUAUUUGGACUAAACAAGAACUAUUAGACUUUUUUUUAAAACUAUUAGAAUUUGGGAUAUUUACCUGCUUUGGGGAGAGAGUUCUUUGGGAAAGUGUUGGGGAGUUUAUGGUGGUGGAUUCUAGGAAGUGUUGGGAAAAUUUGGCUAGCAGGGCAAGACCGAUCUUGAGUUCUGGCAGGCGACUUGCGUCGUCUGGCGCUUAAGCCAGAACUUAGAGGCCCUUCCAGGAUCCUCCUUACACAUGGGCAUUGCAUACUUUU